AUCGUUAUCGCUCGUAAAAUAUAACAAAGAAACAAAGCCCGAUAUUCUAUAAACCAAAAGCCAUUUCCCAUAUAAACCUCAGAAAGAGCAUACGGAGAGAGGCGUGGCGGGCUUACAAUUGGAGAAACCCAAUUUUCAAUUUCUAGUGUUUUCCAUCUCUUUCAUCUCCAAAAUUUCCCACUAAUAAUCAUUUGAAAACCGCUUGAAAAAAAAUUCCGAAAAAAUUCCGCAAAAUUCACCAGUCUUGGUCCGAAAUGGGAAACCGAAGGUUUGCUCAGGUAUCCACGAGCGACGACGAGGACGAAGUCCCGAUACCUCCCCGACGUUUGCGGUCCGAAGAUAAGAGGCAAGAAAGUAAGAGGAAGAAAAUGAAACUACAAGAAGCAGACGAUGAAGAGGAUGAAGAAAGGGAAAUGAAGAGAAAGAGGAAGAGGAAGAAAAAGCGGGACGAAGAUGAGGAAGAAGAUGAAGAGGAAGAGGAAGGGGGAGUUCAGGAGGAUGCAAAGCCGAUAGGGGAGGUAGUUAGAGUUUCUGGGAAAGGGAGAGGAAGGAGGAGUCAUUAUGAGGCUUUUGAGUUUGAUGGCAAUCGAUAUGAUCUUGAGGAUCCAGUUCUUUUAGUUCCUGAAGAUACAGAACAGAAGCCUUAUGUGGCUAUCAUUAAGGACAUUAGUCAGACUAAAGCUGGAAGCAUUAUGGUUACUGGGCAGUGGUUUUAUCGCCCUGAAGAGGCUGAGAGAAAGGGUGGCGGAAGCUGGCAAUCACGUGAUACAAGGGAGCUCUUUUAUAGCUUCCACCGGGAUGAGGUUCCAGCAGAAUCUGUGAUGCACAAGUGUGUGGUUCACUUUGUUCCCAUACACAAGCAACUUCCAAACCGUAAACAGCAUCCUGGUUUUAUUGUGCAGAAAGUUUAUGAUACCGUGGAGCGAAAGCUUUGGAAGCUAACUGAUAAAGAUUAUGAGGAUAAUAAACAGCAUGAGAUUGAUCUUCUUGUUCAAAAAACUUUAUCACGUUUGGGAGAGCUCCCUGACAUUGAGAUUGAUGAUGCUGCUGCAGUUGUUGAUCAGGAAGAGCAGUUGAAGGCGAAAAGAACACUCAGGAAAAAGAACAUUUCACCUCUUGAUGUUACGAGGGAAGAUGAAGGAACUACAAAGUCUGAUCAACAUCUGAGAGCUGAAACUCCGGGAAGUUGUGCAAGUAAUACCACUGAAUAUUACACAAUUUUGUCUAAAUCUAAGGUGCUAACUGGAGAAACUCAUCGUGAUAAGUGGAUGGAGAGGCUUCUCCAAGGAGUUCAAUACAUGUGUAGUUCUCCUGAUAGCAUGCAUAUCGAUGACAAAGUAAAAGGUGGUUCUGAUAGCCUGGAAUGUGAAAGAGACACUAAGACUUCGGGAACUGCAAAUGGAUCCCUAGAGAAGAGUUCAAAUAGUAGCAAGUUUUUUCCGUGGCCUGAUGCUGCUAUUCCUGCUGUAACUGCUCUUGAGAAGGCAUCACAUGAUACUCUUUCUUCUGAUUUCCAGAAAUAUAACCAGAAGUUAAGGCAGCUUGUGUUCAAUCUGAAGAACAAUCCAUUGCUAGCUCGACGUCUACUAAAUGGAGAAUUAGAACCUUCAACAAUACUUAACAUGUCACCUAUUGAGUUGAAGGACGGUUUAACUGCAGAAGAGACAGCAACAAAAGAGCCUGAUGAGUCAGAGCGCAUGCAGAUGACUGAUGCUCGGUGCUCAAGAUGCAUGGAAUCUAAAGUUGGUCUAAGGGACAUUAUCCAAGCAGGACAUGGAGAUCGUUACAAGGUUCGUUACCAGGUUAUCUCAUAUUUUCUUCUCCUAUUCAAUCACUGUUACUAUGUUAAUUAGAAGAGGCUGGGAUCACUAUGAUGGUAGUAAGUUGAUUGAACUAGUACUUCUUUGUUUGUCUUUCUGUCUAGCUAGACACGUACAUGCACCAAUUGUUGAACUUGUUGUAUGAGAGUCAUCCAUGUGAAACUGCAGAGAUGGGUAUGGGAUCUCUAUGCAUAAUGUUGUCAACAUCUCUCUGGAUUAUGCAUGCUUAUUUGUCUGUAUGCUUUUUGAGUUUUAGAAUUUUGUACAAGAUUUCAGACCAAUGACAAAAAGUUCAAUAACCAUAUUGAACAAUAGGACAAUUGUUUUGGAUAGAUAUUACUUUUUAUUAGAUCACAGUGUUGGCACAGGUGUAAUAUAUCCGAGUUACAAGAUGGUAUCAUAAUUUUUUCAUUGUUGUCUGAAUUGGAUAUAGACAUGCAUUGAUCCUGCAUCUGUGAAUGUCUGGUUGAGUUGCUAUUUAAAAAUUUGAUAAGAUAGGACAUAUUAUAUAAAGUGUAUAAUCAGCAUCAAAAGGGUAAUUGUAUAUUAGGGGUGGGGAAAGAGAGUAAGAGACACUGAAGCUUAUGAAAAAAAGUUAAAGAUGCCAAUUAUGAUUAAACUCUAAGGAUGAGUGUUAUGACUGGAAUUUCUAGUGUAUGAUUUAACUUCAAGGAUGAGUAUUAUGACUGGAAUUCCUAGUAAUUAUUGGGUUUGUUGGACUGGCAUCAUGUCAUACAGACCAUGUUGUCUAGAUAUACCGAGGUAAGUGCAUGUGUCAGAAACCUAAAGAGGAGUUUUGAAUUUCACAUCGGAUAUAAAAGGAGGGUCACUGGGGUAUAAAAAGGUUCACACCACCUUCCCUUUGUGAGGUACUUUUUGUAGGACAAAAAUGUGAGGCUAAGGGAGCUAGAGUGGACAAUAUCUUACAAGGGUGUGAACCAUGGCAGUUAGGUUGAUUUGAGACACUGGAUGAGUGGAUGUUUGGGUCUCGGAGCCGUGCGGGUCGGAGCUUAAGUCUUGACUCGUGAUAAGUAGUAUUAGAGUCAGCUUUAAAUCAUUUGAUUUAUGCUAAACUCUUCGAGAGAGGUAGGCAGGGUGACCAGCUUCUAUGAUGAGGGUGUCACAAGGUUGGGUAGGAGAGAAUGUCAUAGACUUAAGAAAGAGUUUUGAAUCCCACAUCGGAUAUAAAAAGAGGAUUAUUGGGGUAUAAAAGAGUUCACACUACCUUUUUUUGUGAGGUGUCUUUUGUAGGAUAAAACUGUGAGAUCAAGGGGGUCAGAGUGAAUAAUACCUCACAAGGGUGUGAACCGUAGCAAUUAGGUUGAUUUGGGACACCGGAUGAGUGGAUGCCUGAGUCCCGGAGCUAUGCGAGUCGGAGCUUAAAUCUUGACCCAUGACACAUGCAGCUUAGUACUACCAUUUGCACUGUAAAGCCUAUUGGUUUAAGAACCUAAAUUCCAGUUGGAAUGUAUUGGUUGUGGGAAUUCCUGGUAUGCUUCUAGAGAUGAGGCAUCUUCACUUACAAUAGAGCCCUCAAGUUCCGCAAAAGGUGCUGGUACAAGAAGAUCUGCCAUG